GCAAACUUGGUCAUUUAGAGGAAGUAAAAGUCGUAACAAGGUUUCCGUAGGUGAACCUGCGGAAGGAUCAUUAUUGAAUUUACCUGGUCUGAGUUGCUGCUGUGCUUCCUGAGCAAUGUGCACGCUCAUUCCAAUCUUUUCAACCACCUGUGAACUCUUGAUAGACCUGAAGCCAUUCUUCAAACUCUUUUGUUUGGCUUGGAGGAUUGCUGUGCAAAUGGAAUAUAAAAAGCCAGCUUUGCUCUUCUCGGCUUGGGUUUAUAUUUUUUUUCCUACAAACACCUGCAAUGUAUUUAGAAGGAUGUGAAUAUUGGCCUUUUUUUUCGGGGGGCCUUUAUAUAAAAACAAAUACAACUUUCAACAACGGAUCUCUUGGCUCUCGCAUCGAUGAAGAACGCAGC
rnacentral:misc_RNA from 1 species